GCCAGUCUCCUUUCUAACGGUCAUGCAUAAAAAGGAUACCUCACCUCGCUUUUGUUUGUUUGGACGAGGGUAGGUAACUCUGCAAAUAAACUGCACCCGGAGAAAACUGCGUGAAUGGAUUUUCGGACACGGGUUCGAUUCCCGUCGCCUCCACCA
rnacentral:tmRNA from 1 species